UACGGGAGGGUGCGAGCGUUGUUCCGGAAUCACUGGGCGUAAAGGGCGCGUAGGCGGCCUGAUAAGUUAAGGGGGUCGGAAAUCCUGCGGGCUUAACCGCAGGGCUGCCUUCUAAACUGUCAGGCUGGAGCACAGUAGAGGCAGGUGGAAUUCCCGGUAGUAGCGAUGGAAUGCGUAGAGAUCGGGAAGAACAUCAGGUGGCGAAGGCGGCCUGCUGGGCUGUUGCUGACGCUGAAGGCGCGGACAGCGUGGGGAGCAAACAGG
rnacentral:rRNA from 1 species